rnacentral:misc_RNA from 1 species
UCCGGUUUGUCACCGGCAGUCCCAUUAGAGUGCUCAACUGAAUGUAGCAACUAAUGGCAAGGGUUGCGCUCGUUGCGGGACUUAACCCAACAUCUCACGACACGAGCUGACGACAGCCAUGCAGCACCUGUGUCCAGGUUCCCUUUCGGGCACCCCUGCAUUUCUGCAGGGUUCCUGGCAUGUCAAGGGUAGGUAAGGUGGGGUGACGUCGACGUCAUAACC